AUACUGACCUGGCAGGGGAGAUACCGUGAUCAUGAAGGUGGCUUUCCCAUUGCACUUAUCCAUUGCUGACCGGAUGUGCUGACCCCAGCGGUUUCCCCAAAUGUGAGGGACUGUGUUCGUGCUCUCCCCUG
ensembl:snRNA U1 U1 spliceosomal RNA